rnacentral:rRNA from 1 species
GUACACCUACGGGAGGCAGCAGUCGGGAAUAUUGCACAAUGGAGGAAACUCUGAUGCAGUGACGCCGCGUGCAGGAAGAAGGUCUUCGGAUUGUAAACUGCUUUAGAUAGGGAAGAUAAAAGACUGUACCUAUAGAAUAAGCUCCGGCUAACUACGUGCCAGCAGCCGCGGUAAUACGUAGGGAGCAAGCGUUAUCCGGAUUUCUUGGGUGUAAAGGGUGCGUAGACGGGAAUUUAAGUUAGUUGUGAAAUCCCUCGGCUUCACU